rnacentral:pre_miRNA from 1 species
CGAGGCAAAGCAGGAGUUCAUAAGUUACUUUGAACUGUUUGAGCUCCCGCUUAGCCUCAUC